GAUGAAGAACGUAGCGAAAUGCGAUAAGUAAUGUGAAUUGCAGAAUUCAGUGAAUCAUCGAAUCUUUGAACGCACAUUGCGCCCGUCAGUAUUCUGGCGGGCAUGCCUGUUCGAGCGUCAUUACGCCCCUCAAGUCCCCUGUGGACUUGGUGUUGGGGAUCGGCGAGGCUGGUUUUCCAGCACAGCCGUCCCUUAAAUUAAUUGGCGGUCUCGCCGUGGCCCUCCUCUGCGCAGUAGUAAAACACUCGCAACAGGAGCCCGGCGCGGUCCACUGCCGUAAAACCCCCCAACUUGUUAUAGUUGACCUCGAAUCAGGUAGGACUACCCGCUGAACUUAAGCAUAUCAAUAAGCGGAGGA
rnacentral:misc_RNA from 1 species